AGAAACUUGGCCCAAUACUUAGUCUUUCUCCUGUUUCCUCUGUGGCUCUGUCCGCCUCGCUGCGCUUCCGGCUUCGCUGAGGCUGACUCGCAACUUUGCGAGCGACCGAGACCCCCGAGCGACAAGCGCGACCGCAAGGACGCCCGACGUCGACAGUCCGAGGUGGAGCCGCUGCCCGCCGGCCCAGGCCUCCCGUUCAGCCGUCCGGCGCGUCCGCUCCCACAGACCCGUACAGGCACAGGCGCACAGCGGCUCCCGCGGCUCGCGGCCCUCGCGCGCGCGUCCGCUCCACUCGACGGCUCGACCUCCGACGCCGACGGUGGACAACUCCGCCACUCCGCCAGCGGGCACAGGCAGCGCUGCUGCGGCAGCGGCCACGGCCCACAGGCCACAGCCAAUCCGGGUGAAUUUUGGUAAGUUUGAUUUUUUUUUUCUUCCAGAUGGUUUAGGGAUUUGAUUUUCUUCUAGAUCUAUGAUUCUGUGAGAUUGUGAGGUGUGAACCAAGAAUUGAAUCAAUUUAUUAAUAUGUUUUUAAGAAGUUGAGGCAUGAAGAAAUCAAAUAUAGCAGUUCUAAAAAAAUUGCAACUCAUAUCUCCACCAACACCAAUUUUAGUUAUUGAUGAAGAGCUCUCUAUUCCUAUUGUAGAAAAUUUGCUUAUUUUAUAGUCAUUUUACCGAAUUUUUUCUUUGAAAUUUGUCGUGUUACGCAUGAAAAAACAUUUUUAGGACUACCUUGGUUCCAAUUUCUGGGUCCACCACUGUAUAAACAUAGGAUUUUACUUUUACUGGUCUAAGUUGAGUAGAGAAGUAAUUGACUGGAUUUAGGAUAGAUAGCCGACUAUGAAGAGGGGAAAUCACGGUCAUCUCUCGAAUCAAGUGCUACUAGGUCCAUAUCUUGAGCAUAUGCAUUAGAAUCUAGUAAAGUGCUAACCUAACUUCUUUGAUGAAAAUGUUUGUGAAAAGCUAACACACAUGCACUUUAGUGGUGGCACUUAUUGGUGUUAGCAACAUUUGCAAAGGAGGUGGAGUUCCUAGGAUUGAGAGGGGUUUGGGUUUCUCUCUCUCCCUCCCGCCGAGCUUGCUCGGCGGUAUUCGGCGCUUUUGAGAAAAUUAAGUAUAUAUUUUCUAUUGCGUCGGUGGAAAAUUUGGAGAAGUCAUGGGUCGCUGAGAAACACUCAUCAGACGCAGUGUGUGGAGGCACCGGACGCUGGCUUUAGCAUCUGGUGUGCUGUCAGCGCUUGGCUCUAUUAGGGUUGAGCACCGGACGCACUGCACUAGACGCAGGAUGUUCCCUGUUCAUGCGUCUGGUGUGGCCUGACUUCAGCAGAGGGUGUCUGACUGAGAGCACUGGACGCUCGGAGUGCGUCCGGUGGUGUGAGUCCGGUGUGGGGACGUUUUGCAGACCUCUCUAUGCACGAGUUCGGUGAGUACCGGACGCGUCCGGUGAGGUCGUGAGUUUGCAGACCUCUCUACGCACGGGACUGGUGAGUACCGGACGCGUCCGGUGCUCAUUUGGUCGCGUCUGGUGGUCCGCAGGUGACCGUUAGAGUUUGACGCGCGAGUUUCAAAGAUGGACACGUGGCUAACAUUAGUGCACCGGACGCAGGGGGUCGAGCGUCCGGUGGUUCCCUAAUACGCGUCUGGUGCCCCUGAGAUUUGUCCAGUGACAGAGCCAACGGCUCUAUCUCUUUGAGGGGCUUAUAAAUAGAAGGUGGCCGGCUUUAGAGGGUUUUCUCUUGCACAUUUGAUUACUUGAGGCAUACAUUGAGCUAGAGAACACUCUCUCCACUCAUCUCUUUGCUUGAUUGCUAUUCUUAGUGAGAUUGAGUGAAAUUCAAGUGCAUUGCAUUGAGAGUUGCAUCUAGUGGCACUUGAUCCUUGAGUUUGCUACGGAUUUCUUGUUACUCUUGGGUGUUUCCUGAUGCUCUAGAUGGCUUGGAGUAGCGGUGGUGUUGAGCUCGUGAUUGGAGAUUGUUUCGAGCCUCACCAAGUGAUUUGUGAGGGGUUUUUGAGCCUUCCCCGUGGGAGAUCAUAAUUGGCUACUCUAGUGGAUUUCUCGUGGCUUGGAGGAUCCCCAUCUUGUGAGUGGAUGUGCGGCACCCGCUGAGGGUUUGGCUUUGAAUUGCCAAUUAGCUCGUGAUCUAUCAAGUGAGUGUAUCACCACAACGAGAACUAGCUUGCCGGGAAGCAAGUGAACCUCGGUAAAAAAUCCUGUGUCGUCUCAUGUCGAGGAUUUUCUAUUGUGAUUGUGAUUGUGAGUGAUUGAUUGCAUAUAUCUCUACUCUACAACGUUGGUAUAACAAUCACUCUCUACUUCUUUACUUACUUGCAUACCUUACUAGUUGUUUAGCUUGUUUAGCAUAGUCUUCUUGUUUAGGAGUAUAGCUAGCCUUCUCUUGUUGUUGUGGUUUAGUGUUUAGUCUUGUACUAGACUUUAGGUGGCUUUAGCUUAGUUGAGCUAGUGCUAGAAUAGUUUCGCCUUUUGUUUUACUAAUCAACUUGUUUAGUUGUAGUUUGUAGAAAAUUUAAAUAGGCUAUUCAUCCCCCCUAGCCAUUUGGACCUUUCAUCUUUGCCGACUCAAAAUUUUUCGAGAGCUCUUUACCGAGAGCCGCUCUCGGCAAAGCCUUGCCGAGGAUUUUUGGGUCUUUGUCGGGGGCUUGGGGCCCUCAACAAAGAGGGCGCGUCCAGUAGUGUUACACGGUUCAGGUCUAUAUGACUCUAAAAAUUUAAUGAGCUUUGUUUUGUUUGGAUUAAAUAUUACUUUAAUAUUAGUAUUGUUAUUUUAUCAUGCGACCUAUUUGUUUUUAUAUAAAAAAAUUAGUUGUCUUAUAUCAACGCACAGGCAUACCUAUCUAGUACAGUUUGAUGCCUUAGGUCCUGCCUAUUGCUUUUUUGAACACAAAUAAUCGACACCCAGUAUGCAAUGUAACCAAACUCAUCUCAUCAAUUAUAGAUGCAUGUAUGCCACAGAUAAUGAUGUGGUGAUAAACAUACAUGGAAGUGUCAUUGAAAGAACAAUUAUUAUUCCCUCUCGCGCUUGGCUAUUAUUGAACUGGGCCUCCACCGAAGGCAUCCAUGGCCAUAUGGGUAAUGGGUGCGUGUCAAGAAUUAUUUCUCAGAAAAAAAACAAAAGUGUAAGAAUUGGAUGCAAGUAGGUCAGCUUCAGCUCCACGGAAGCCACGAGCCCACAACUUUACUUUGAGCCAAGCCAAGAAGCUUGAUUUUGCUACGCCUACAUUUGUGAGUUGCAUUGCCUAUUCCCAGUCAGAUACAUCCAUCAUAUACGGAGUACUAAUGGGGGAAAAAAAACGUUGCUUGAGAACUUGGCUACAAGCAUUAGUUCCAUAUACGAUCCGGUUGAAAGAAAAAUCAGAUGCUACGGAUAUUGACAUGACAUCCCACCCAACAAUACAUGAGCACUAACACGUAAGAACAAAUCAAGCAUAUAUGCUUCCUCUGUCUAAGUAAAAGUGUUGUUUUAUUAGCAUUCAAAUAUUAUCUCAAUAAAAAUGUCGUUUUAGGUACAGACCUACUCCUAGGAGCAACACCAGUCUUCAACAUACGAAAGAGAAGCGCAAGAGAGGAUGGAGUAUAUAUGAUUUUAAUUAAUGAGGAUGGAGUAAUACCUAGGAGUAACCGUGUUCAUCCUAAAACGACUUUAAUUCAGAGAUAAAGUGAGUAUGAGAGUUGCCUAUUUAACGACAAAAGUGAACAUUUGGUAUUGCAUAAUGCAUACUAUGGCUACAACUACUUUUUUUAUAAAGAGAUAUGUCUCAAAAAAACAAAGGUUGAUAUGACUGAUGGACAAAAGACAUAAAACGAUCUGUACAAAAUAAAAGUAUAUCAAAGAUCAAAUUGGUCAUCUUCCACCUUCAAACAUUCACUGCUGGAAUUUAAAGAUCCACACUGUGAACACAGCAAGAAAAGAAAUACCUGCAAACACCCUCACAAACAAGGCUCUGAAGAGCGAAAUAGCCACUUGCUGCUGACAGCGAGAUCUAGUAUAGUAUCUCUUGAAAGAACAUCAGCUAGAGGAAACCUCCAAGAAAUGCAGGCUUACCAGACCAAAAGAAGAGGUUGAGAUCGUCGUAUGCAAAGGCAACCAACUGCCCCCUCUAAAAAAACAUACCAAAUGUCAAGAUCUAACAACAGAUCUAACAAGUCAGACUCUCCCUAACCCUUCGCUGAUACCAAAUCAAACGUUGUCAAGGUAGAGAGAGGCCGAAGAGAUAUUAUUCCAAAGUAUCAUCAUUGUCACCACCUCGUUGAUGACACUAGAAACUAUAACCUAGAUCACAAGGAUUCACAAACCUAAUCAAGAACUACGAAGAAGGAAAACGGGUCUCCAAUCCUGUAUCCACUAGCGAGAUCAUGAGAGAAGAGGGACCGAGGUAUGUCCUGGCUGUGGGCGGCGGGGACGGCGUAUGGGAAGUGCUAGGGCAGAUGCGACUCUGGAGGGAACGUAAUGCCACC
rnacentral:lncRNA from 1 species